rnacentral:rRNA from 1 species
UACAGAGGUCUCAAGCGUUGUUCGGAAUUACUGGGCGUAAAGGGUGCGUAGGCUGCGUGGAAAGUCAAAUGUGAAAUACGAAAGCUCAACUUUCGAAAUGCAUCCGAUACUACCACGCUAGAGAUCUAAAGGGGAGCUUGGAACUCUCGGUGUAGCAGUGAAAUGCGUAGAUAUCGAGAAGAACACUUGUGGCGAAAGCGAAGCUCUGGUUAGAAUCUGACGCUGAGGCACGAAGGCUAGGGUAGCAAACGGG